rnacentral:lncRNA from 1 species
UGCAACCAAAAAGCUUUACAUAGACACAGCCAAAAGAAAGGAAGUGCUUCAGAUAGACUGUAGUGGAUUGAAUUAUAAGACUGCUUACUGGUGCACUGUGGGCAACUCGAUUCGUGUUGCCCACAGCUUAUUUGAUUUUAUGCAGGCUAACGUGCAAAAAUCAAUUUACCAUUAUUCUUUCCUUUGUCCAUCCAAAACAUAUAAGAGAAAAUUACAUAAAUAUUUGUUUUAGUUUAUGUUAUUACCAAAAUACUAAAUGC